UGGGGAAUAUUGGGCAAUGGGGGAAACCCUGACCCAGCAACGCCGCGGGAAGGAAGAAGGCUUUCGGGUUGUAAACUUCUUUGACGAGGGACGAAAGAAAUGACGGUACCUCGAAAACAAGCUACGGCUAACUACGUGCCAGCAGCCGCGGUAAUACGUAGGUGGCAAGCGUUGUCCGGAUUUACUGGGUGUAAAGGGCGCGUAGGUGGGUAAAUAAGUCAGAUGUGAAAUACCGGGGCUUAACUUCGGGGCUGCAUUUGAAACUAUUUAUCUUGAGUAUCGGAGAGGCAGGCGGAAUUCCUAGUGUAGCGGUGAAAUGCGUAGAUAUUAGGAGGAACACCAGUGGCGAAGGCGGCCUGCUGGACGACAACUGACACUGAGGCGCGAAAGCGUGGGGAGCAAACAGG
rnacentral:rRNA from 2 species